rnacentral:tRNA from 1 species
CCUUUGGUAGCUCAGUUGGUAGAGCGGAGGACUUGUAGUGGUUAUGUCAGAAAUUGCUGGUUCAAAUCCAGCUUGAAGGA